rnacentral:tRNA from 1 species
GCUGGUCUCGUAUAGUGGUUAGUACAGUUCGUUGUGGCCGAACAAACCCAGGUUCGAUUCCUGGGACCAGCA